UACGGAGGGUGCAAGCGUUAAUCGGAAUUACUGGGCGUAAAGCGCACGCAGGUGGCUGAGAUAGUCGAUUGUGAAAGCCCUGGGCUUAACCUGGGAAUUGCAUUCGAUACUACUCGGCUAGAGUAUGAGAGAGGGCAGUGGAAUUCCCGGUGUAGCGGUGAAAUGCGCAGAGAUCGGGAGGAACACCAAUGGCGAAAGCAGGUAACUGGACCAUUACUGACACUCAGCUGCGAAAGCUAGGGGAGCAAACAGG
rnacentral:rRNA from 1 species